rnacentral:lncRNA from 1 species
CAAAAUUUACCUUUGAGCCAUUCGAUGAAAAUCUCCUCUUUAGGAGAUAGGUUUUGAGUUAUUGCUUUCAUUAAACAGUAAAAAAAUAGAGAUAAUUUAGUUCCAUAGAUGUGAGAAGUUUUGUUUCAUCCUAGAGGGAUAAGUCUGUAUGCCAGUCGUUUAAGAAUUUUACACUGCCUUAAGGGAGAUAGAGACGACUCGAGAAUUCGAUGUACCAUGGUUGUGGGUCUUCAUUUGAAGGAAAUAAAUUGCCAUCUCACCUCCCGAGAUAGCAAGGUACCAAUAAAAUGAUCCAAGCGUUAUUUACAACCAACGAAGUAUUCGAUACGAGAAACUAGUGUGAAGCAUUUGAUGGGAAAUUGCAAGCGAAAAAGAGUUAUUAAAACAAAGCCACAUCUAGGUGAGACAGUGUUUCCGAAUUCGGAAUGGAUAGUUUGAUAGAUGCAAGAAGCGAGACCAAUCUACGAGGACUAUACAUGGAAAAGCAAGUUGGGGGUGCCUCAAUUCCCAACAGCAAAAUACGAAGCAAAGCCAAAAUCCAGCAAAAUAGAGAUAGAGGAAGACCCAUAAGAAUAUCUUGAAGAAAAUCUGAAUUCAGAGGGUGACCCGGACAAAGCUAAUGAGGAGUCGGACCAUUGAUGACCUUGGGUCCCUCUAAUAAAACCUUUGUAUAAUCUUACCAUUAAAAAAAUCAUUUUCCAAGUUCAUUAUUGAAUAGACUACAAAAGCUUCCAUAAAGCUAAUAUUUUG